GCCAGAGUAGCUCAGCGGUAGAGCACCGCUUUCGUAAAGCGGGGGUCAUGGGUUCAAUCCCCAUCUCUGGCUCCA
rnacentral:tRNA from 1 species